rnacentral:tRNA from 2 species
GGUGGGGUACUCAAGUGCGUUAAGAGGAUGGUCUUGAAAACCAUUAGGGCGGUCAAACGCCGCGUGGGUUGGAAUCCCACCCCCACCG